rnacentral:rRNA from 1 species
GUCAAGUCAUCAUGGCCCUUAUGUCCAGGGCUACACACGUGCUACAAUGGCUGGUACAACGUGACGCGAGUCUGCGAAGAUUGAGCGAAACAUGGAAAGCCGGCCGUAGUUCGGAUUGAAGUCUGAAACCCGACUUCAUGAAGUUGGAAUCGCUAGUAAUCGCGCAUCAGCAUGGCGCGGUGAAUACGUUCCCGGGCCUU